rnacentral:snRNA from 1 species
GGAUGUCAGGGUGCUCUGGAUGUGACAUCUGUCACCCAAUGACUACCAGGGUGAAUCUGACUAAUCUGGCUGCUAGGCGGAUGUCCCCUUCCUCCUUCACUGCUCCAUAGGUAUCCCUCCACCAAGAGGAUGACCUUCCCAGAAUAGGGAAGAACUGGUCUUUGGUCAAUGGUGUAUGAGUAGCUGCACUCCCCUGCUAGAACCUCCAAACAAGCUGUUUUCUAUUUUAUGAGAAGUAUGGCUAGUUAAAGUUUCUUUAAGACUGUAUUUUCAAUUUGGAAGACUUUUAGCAUUU